AGGAAUAUUGGUCAAUGGGCGAGAGCCUGAACCAGCCAAGUAGCGUGAAGGAUGACUGCCCUAUGGGUUGUAAACUUCUUUUAUAAAGGAAUAAAGUCGGGUAUGCAUACCCGUUUGCAUGUACUUUAUGAAUAAGGAUCGGCUAACUCCGUGCCAGCAGCCGCGGUAAUACGGAGGAUCCGAGCGUUAUCCGGAUUUAUUGGGUUUAAAGGGAGCGUAGAUGGAUGUUUAAGUCAGUUGUGAAAGUUUGCGGCUCAACCGUAAAAUUGCAGUUGAUACUGGAUAUCUUGAGUGCAGUUGAGGCAGGCGGAAUUCGUGGUGUAGCGGUGAAAUGCUUAGAUAUCACGAAGAACUCCGAUUGCGAAGGCAGCCUGCUAAGCUGCAACUGACAUUGAGGCUCGAAAGUGUGGGUAUCAAACAGGAUUAGAUACCCUGGUAGUCCACACGGUAAACGAUGAAUACUCGCUGUUUGCGAUAUACGGCAAGCGGCCAAGCGAAAGCGUUAAGUAUUCCACCCGGGGAGUACGCCGGCAACGGUGAAACUCGAAGGAAUUGACGGGGGCCCGCACAAGCGGAGGAACAUGUGGUUUAAUUCGAUGAUACGCGAGGAACCUUACCCGGGCUUAAAUUGCAGAUGAAUUACGGUGAAAGCCGUAAGCCGCAAGGCAUCUGUGAAGGUGCUGCAUGGUUGUCGUCAGCUCGUGCCGUGAGGUGUCGGCUUAAGUGCCAUAACGAGCGCAACCCUUGUUGUCAGUUACUAACAGGUUCCGCUGAGGACUCUGACAAGACUGCCAUCGUAAGAUGUGAGGAAGGUGGGGAUGACGUCAAAUCAGCACGGCCCUUACGUCCGGGGCUACACACGUGUUACAAUGGGGGGUACAGAGGGCCGAUACCACGCGAGUGGAUGCCAAUCCCAAAAACCUCUCUCAGUUCGGACUGGAGUCUGCAACCCGACUCCACGAAGCUGGAUUCGCUAGUAAUCGCGCAUCAGCCACGGCGCGGUGAAUACGUUCCC
rnacentral:rRNA from 1 species